UCCCCCCAACCCCCCGCGGGUGGGCAGGAAGGCUCAGCCCUUCCUGUACCGAGUUCUGAUCAGGACGAUCCAGUCGUAUACAAAGGUCCAAGUCCGCGCAGGCUGCUCCCAUCUCCACCCAGUUCGCUUCGCCCACCGAGUCUACUCGUUCCUCCCGUAAUGCUUCCCGGCAAACGCUCUCGCCAUUUUAUUCCAAAAUGAUACGGCGAAUCGACUGUGGAGGAUGUUCGCAGACCGGCAAUUCUGCAAAUGGGAUACGAACGAUCCGAAAUCUUUCGCCCCGCUUAUCUCGAUCUACGUUGCUGCCUUGUGCACAGGGGUCAUCGCAUCCGCCAUAACCGAGCAGCUUUGUAAGGUUGGUCUUUCUUUCUUGAAGAAUCCACGACAUCUGAUUAUUACUUUUGUAAUGAAGCCCUUUUCUUUUUCCUUCCUUCUUUUGUCGGCCUUGUCCUUCAUAUGAAGUUUCGAUUUUUCAUCCUUGUGAUGAUCAUUGAUUUGAGACGGUUAAAUCAUUAUCAUCACUAUGUUUCUUAAUUUGCCAAUAAUUGUAUGAUAGAACCAAUCGAAACUACCUAAUAAUUUCCUGACUGUCACAUUUUUUGCACAAA